rnacentral:rRNA from 1 species
GUGGGGAAUAUUGGACAAUGGGGGAAACCCUGAUCCAGCAAUGCCGCGUGAGUGAAGAAGGCCUUAGGGUUGUAAAACUCUUUCGCCGGUGAAGAUGAUGACUGUAGCCGGUAAAGAAGCCCCGGCUAACUCCGUGCCAGCAGCCGCGGUAAUACGGAGGGGGCUAGCGUUGUUCGGAAUUACUGGGCGUAAAGCGCACGUAGGCGGCGUAACAAGUCAGUGGUGAAAGGCCUGGGCUCAACCCAGGAACUGCCUUUGAUACUGUUAUGCUUGAGUCCGGGAGAGGGUAGUGGAAUUCCCAGUGUAGAGGUGAAAUUCGUAGAUAUUGGGAAGAACACCGGUGGCGAAGGCGGCUACCUGGUCCGGUACUGACGCUGAGGUGCGAAAGCGUGGGGAGCAAACAGGAUUAGAUACCCGAGUAGUCC